rnacentral:pre_miRNA from 1 species
AAUAAGUGCAGUUUUGUACUAUUCAUGUUCAAUAUUUGACUGUUCGUCUUAUUUGAAAAAAUUUUAUUAUUAGUAUUUUUAUUGCUAUUAGAUGAUAAAACAUGAAUAGUACUUUAUGUGUGACUAAAUAUUUUCAAAUUUUUUAAAUAAGACGGACGGUCAAACGUUGGGCAUAGAUAUCCACGGCUGCACUUAUU